CUUGAACAGGUACGGAUAGAUUGAGUGUGUGGAUAUCCCUGCUCUAUCUAAUCUUCGUGUUUUCUAUCCUACGAUACAAAGUGUGCGGUCAUUCCUGCGCUGUAUCCCAUUAAUACAAGUGUGGGGUCAUACCUGCUUGUAUAGGUGGUGGUUGCGGCGGAGCACUAGUGUAUGGUCAUCCCUGCUGGUGUUCUGGCCUUUCUAGCGCAAGUGUGCGGCACUUACUGCUUGCGUUAGGUUGAGCUGUUGGCGCAAGUGUGCGGUCAUCCCUGCUUGCGUUAUCCUUGCUUGCGUUAACGUUGGUACCUGUUGAGUUGCGUAGGUGCGCGGUCAUCCCUGCCUGCGUAACAUUGAGGUCCUAUAUAUGUGCAGGAGCGGUGAUUAAAGUCUGCUCUUGAAAAUAUUGGCAGCAAUCGGGGCUAUCCGAGUUCCAAGGGAGGAAAAUGGAUUUUAUUUAUACAGGAUCUACAUGUGUUAUUGUACAUUGUCCAGAUUGUUUGUAUUAUGACUCCAUUAAGCUGACUUUAUCAUACCUAUUGUUCCUCAGGUGAGCGAUGUGGCCCAUGGGCCUCUUGUAUUAAAAGUAAAAUGCUGGUAAGUUUCAGUAAGUUUCCGUUGCGGAAACCAUUUGGAUUCGUGGACAGCCUAAGUUUCAGAACUACGGAAACUUAAUGAAACUUGAAGUUUCCGUGCUGAAACCUGUCGGAAAUUCAAAGUAACCUUAAGUUUCCGCAGAGUUUGCAAAGGGUUUCCGCAGCGCUGAAACCAGAUAUUUCAUCCAGUAAAUAUGCAAUGAAACAGGAGAUCUGAAAUCCUUAUAAAUCCGCUAACACAGACUCGUCGCUAUGUACAUUAAACUCAUAAAAAUUAAUAUGCUGUGUUUGCGAUAUAGAGUUAACGCACUGUGUAAACGUAUGUGUGAGAGAGAGAGAGAGAGAGAGAGAGAGAAAGAGAUGCAGGCAGACAGAGAUAGACAUGCAGGCAGACAGACAGACAGAUAUAGGCAUGUAGACAGAAAUAUUUCUUGAUAUUGAGUUUUAAGAAACUUUAAACAAACUUAAUUGUUGCAGAUAAGAUGAUAAAUCCCAAACAUGGAAUUUUUUGUUUGUGUUUGUAACCAAGGAAGUAUACUUUACCGCAUUUAGGGAGAUUCGAGGAAUCCCAUCUUCCACUUUUAAUAAAGUAAGGAAACUAAUUCUUAGUAAGUAUAAUAAUAUUUAGUGUCUUAGUGGUUGAAUGCUUGGUUCGAUGGAUGAAUGGAUGGAUCUAUCAUCUAUCUAAAAAAUGAUUUGUUAAAUUAUAUUUUAUAGACAAGCAGAAGGUAAUUUCCAAACAAAGGACAAAGAGACGACAAUCAAAAUCAAUGUCGGUCUUGGCAUGGCUCAGCACCUACGCAGAAAGUAAUGGCGAGAAACUCCCUAACACAGCACAAAUUCAUCUCCCUCCAUGUUCAACAAAGCAACACGUUUUUGAAACCAUGCUGGAGGAAACGUAAAAUCCUUUAACUAUCUCUCGUAGUGACUUUUUGCGCCUGUGGAGAAAAGAAGCCUCACAUAUUGCUAUACCCAAGCCAUUCAACGAACAUGACGUUAUCCAUCCUUCUGAGUGUUUUUAUGGUAUUAAGGACUCCAUGCCCGACAUGCUAUACCUGCAGAUGGACAACUGUGCCAGGGAAACAAAAAUAAGUGAAUCUAUUCGUGUUCAAAAUUAUAGGCUUUAACAUUUUAAUCUAGUUUAAGACCAUUUAUGUGCUUGAUCUCUAUUUGAUUUUGAAGGAGCAACAUUUCUUGCUCUUGAAUGUCGUUCAAAAGAUUUUCUUUACAUUGUUUUCAACAUUGUAACAAUUACAUCCUUGUAGGAUGUGAUGAAGACAUUUUGUACACUUAAUUUAAGCGCAAGUGUUGUUCCACCAGUUAGAAGUGCUAAACUUCUUCCAAUUCAAAAUCAGGAAAUUAACAAUAAACUUUAUGAAGACAUUUUGAUAAAAAUGAGAGAUGAUGAGGUCCGCAGAGCAAUAAAGGGUGAUGGCUUAUAAUGCAUUUUGGUCAAAGAUUGUAUGAAAAGCAAGGUCAUCCUCACAGACUUCCUUAUGUUGUUCAGAAGAUGUGAGAACUUGGGCGUCUUCUGAAUGUUUUAAUGUUAUCAUAUCUCAACAUUUGUAGUCUAGAAGAUGCAAUUAAAGCCUCUAGUUGGAACUCCCUUCCUAAAAGUGUUAAAAUCGUUUCAGAAUUUGAUUACAACACACAAUCCUAUGGCAUAACAUCCAUAGCACUCAAACUUGGCUACAGUCUACUACAGUCUACAGCUGACAACGACCCAUAUACAUUAAUAUAGAUGGAUAAAAAGGAACACACGACAGUGUUACCGAGGCUUGGAAUGACAUCAAUCAAUGGUUCAUUGUGGAUGACUCCAUAUAACAGAUUUAAUGGCCGAGCUAUCACCACCCCCACACCGAUGUAAAACAGCACG